UUUUUUCCACCAGCUGUGAAUAUUGUGAGUGUACUUGUUUCAGUCUAGCUGCAUUCAUUAACAUUAGAGGAAACACAGAAAGAGAUCAGAUUCACCUGAACCCAGCUAUGUGUCCAUGAAGAGUGACCACUCAAUGGGUCAGCCAGUACACUUCAGAGAAGUAGAAUGUUUUACUGAUAUGAGGAGCUGAACUCAGAACAGGAGCUGGAUGAGUUUGACCUGCGUAAAUAUGAUACAUAGAGGAAAGUCUUUUAAGGCUGCUGCCAGUCGUCAAAAAGCCUCCAAAAGAGUUGAGGGGAGCUCUAUCCAGGCUGAAGGUUGGUGUGUGCAGUGGGAGAAGCACUUCCUGGAUAAUACCAUAAAAGAGACAGGAAAAUGAAGAAGAGGAGGGGAACCAACCUUGCUGUUGUUUUUUGGUGCCCUGUGUGAGUUUUGGGUCUGUGGUCUUUUUUGGCAAACGUGUGCUGUGUAAAGUGUUUAUAGAAAGACAACUAUGCAACAGUGCUAAAUUGACUUGUUUCUUUUGUCACCACUGCUGGAAAGGGGGUUCCAGCUGUGACCUGUAGGAGAUAUGAGCUCCAAAAUGAGUUCAUCUGGAGAAGAACACACAGAAAAAGACCAGAUAGAGAGAACAGACUCAUCUGAACCCAGUUGUGUGUCCGUGAAGAGUGACCGGUCUAUGGAACCUCCACCAAAAUUCAAAGACUAUUCUACUGACGGGAGUGUGACUCAGAGAGAGACAUCAGAAUCACUUGAAUCCAGCUCUGUGUCCAUGAAGAGUGACCGGUCAAUGGAACCUCCACCAAAAUUGAGAGAGGGAGAGUGUUCU